rnacentral:misc_RNA from 1 species
GUGAAUCAUCGAAUCUUUGAACGCAAAUUGCACUCUCCGGUUUUCCGGGAGCGUAUGCCUGUUUGCGGGUCAGCCUAAAAAAAAUCGACAUUGUUGCUGUUAUUUAAUGGUGACUUUCGUCGGAGAUUGGGUUAUCUUAAACCUUUUUUUUUUUUUUGUUAUAAGCGUCAUAAUAUUUUUUUUCACGUCUACAUACAUGU